rnacentral:rRNA from 1 species
AGAGUUUGAUCCUGGCUCGGGGUGAACGCUAGCGGCGUGCCUUAGGCAUGCAAGUCGAACGACCCGCUUCGGGCGGGAGUGGCAGACGGGUGAGUAACACGUGAGAACGUACCCUUUAGUGAGGAAUAACCCACCGAAAGGUGGGCUAAUACCGCAUGUGAUCGCAAGAUUAAAGAACGUAACUGUUCGCUAAAGGAGCGGCUCGCGUCCCAUCAGCUUGUUGGUAGGGUAAUGGCCUACCAAGGCAUCGACGGGUAGCUGGACUGAGAGGUCGGCCAGCCACAAGGGCACUGAGACACGGGCCCUACUCCUACGGGAGGCAGCAACCGGGAAUCGUGGACAAUGGGCGCAAGCCUGAUCCCGCGACGCCGCGUGAAGGACGAAGGCCUUCGGGUUGUAAACUUCUUUUAUAAGGGAAUAAGGUCUCGCUUGCGAGGCUUGACUGUACCUUACGAAUAAGCCGCUGCCAACUACGUGCCAGCAGCCGCGGUGAUACGUAGGCGGCAAGCGUUACCCGGAUUUAUUGGGCGUAAAGAGUGCGCAGGUGGUUUGGUAAGUUUUCGUUAAAAUACGUUGGCUCAACCAACGGACCGCGAAAAUACUGCCAGACUAGAGUUAGCCAGGGGGUGCCGGAACAGAUGGUGAAGCAGUGAAAUGCGUUGAUAUCAUCUGGAACACCAAAGGCGAAGGCAGGCACCUGGGGCUUUUCUGACACUGAUGCACGAAAGCGUGGGGAGCGAAUCGGAUUAGAUACCUGAGUAGUCCACGCCGUAAACGAUGGACACUAGAUAUCAGGCUGGUGACGGCUUGGUGUCGUAAGCUAACGCGUUAAGUGUCCCGCCUGGGGAGUACGGCCGCAAGGCUAAAACUCAAAGGAAUUGACGGGGACCCGCACAAGCAGGGGAACGUGUGGUUUAAUUCGAGACAAAACGAAAAACCUCACCAGGGUUUGAAAUGUAUGUUUUAGGACUCCGAAAAGAGAACAAACCGCAAGGUAGCAUACACAGGUGCUGCAUGGCUGUCGUCAGCUCGUGCCGUGAGGUGUACCCUUAAGUGGGGUAACGAGCGCAACCCCUACCGGCUGUUGUAUCACUCAGCAGGAACUGCCCCGAUAAUAUCGGGGAGGAAGGAGGGGACGACGUCAAGUCAUCAUAGCCCUUAUGUCCUGGGCUACACACACGUUACAAUGGGCUUACACAAUGGGUCGCAACACUGCGAAGUGAAGCUAAUCCCACAAAAGAGCCCUCAGUUGGGAUUGCAGUCUGAAAUUCGACUGCAUGAACAUGGACUUGCUAGUAAUCGCAGGUCAGCAUACUGCGGUGAAUACGUUCUCGGGUCUUGUACACACCGCCCGUCAAGUGAGCAAAGUCGUAGGUAGUUGAAGUGCUCCAUUAGGAGUCCGAGACUAAAUGCGGUGAUGAGCGCUAAGUCGUAACAAGGUAACC